AGAAGAUACCCUUUGACAACAGAGUAAAGACUGUUAGCAAGAAAGCCAGACUCAUCUAGAUUAGGACCACCAAUGCCCCUUUUCUGUUAUACAGGUAAGAAGAAAUGUCAGAAGCAGUUGAGGGACCAGAAACUGGGUCCUUUACAGUUGAGGAGACAUUCUGCUGCAUAGAGUUUUAAAUGUUUCCUCCAGUUGUCUGCCUUAUUAUCCAGGAUUUUUAUCUCAGGAGUCUCCCUUUGAUUUUAUAAACUGACACAGUUUCCUGUUUUGUUAUGAAUGCACACUGCUCUAGUCCUUCAAUAAACC
rnacentral:lncRNA from 10 species